UAAUAAGUGUUUUAUGGCACUUUUUAAAUCCAUAUCCACCUUGUGUGCAAUGUCAGUCGAUCUUCUUCAUGGAGAUCGACCUAAACAUCAACCUUUAUUUUUUAACUCUUUGUCUGAAAAAUAUUAUGAAUAAACAAUUCAGAAUA
rnacentral:misc_RNA from 1 species